GUCCUUUCUGACAGCCAUUAAUAUGGUUUAUGGUUAAAUUGCUGGACCCCAUGUGGACUGAAAGGGCCUCUUUAUCUUUAAACAAACAUAUGAGGAAGGAGGAUCUCUCCCACCCCAGCCUAGACCUAUAUUUGUGAGACCACACCAUGGGUUUUUCCACCCAACCCAGCUAUCAAUCUUCCCUUGUUUGAGCUUUGAGAGAAAAAAAGAGAAGCAUGGGAAGUGGGGGACAUAAUCAGAAAGGGACUUUGGCUCUAUGUUAGCAGAGAGGAACAGAACGAACUCGGUCUGGCUUUUCUUGAAAAUGGAUGGAAAUUUGAGAAAAUCAAGGGCUCCCGUGGGGACUCUUUUGACUCUCCCUCCACCCAAAACACCACCCCUACCUUCAUCGGGCUUCCGGUACCACACAGGCUGGUGCGCAGGGUCCCUGCCGACAGCACUAGAGGCCACAUCCGAGACCCGGGCUUAGAGUGUUAUCAGCAACGACAGUCACGGUGGAACAGAAAGCCUCUGGUAAGUGUCCUGUGCCCACAGCACCGUGCUAGACGGUGUCGGAAAAACUCACAGCCACAACAGAGCUUCUAGUCCGAGAAAAACCUAACAGCCUUCUCAGGGAGCAACGGUAUGCUAAUGACAAGGUUGUUUUUGCUUUGUUUAAUUUUACCUGUAUCGUGGGGCCACGUGGUGGUGAAGUUCACAAGUUUUCUGUGUGGGACAAAACCAGGUUAGAACCCUGGUGCUUUGACCCAUGAAUGUGUGACCCUGAGCAAACGGUACGACUUCCCUGUGCCUCUUUCCUCCUCUAUGAAAUGGGGAUGAGCACAGUGACCACGCAGAGUUGUUGUAAGGCUAGAAUGGAGUCCCAUGGGAACCUGCCACGAGGCAAAUUCUCGGUAAAUGACUGCCGUUGGGGUUGGGCAGAGACCCAACAGCAUCUGGGGAGGACCAGCCGUGUGCAAGACAGCUUUCAGUUCUUGAGACAUAGUACUCAUUUCACCGCACAGGAAUCCUAUGUGGUAAGAACUAUUCUUAUUCUCAUUUUAUAGAUGUGAGGGAACUGAGGCACACUGGCCCGCGAUCACACAAUUACUAAGCGGCGAACCCAAGUUGUCUGGUUCCGGAGACGUCCUCACAAAGGGAGGUGUGGUUGUCGAUCUAAGUAACGGUGCUUCCAUUUCUGUUUAAACCACCUGAGUGGGAAUAUUUCAUUACUACCCUCCUUAUCUGCUGACGCCAGGCACUGAACAUCCAACAUCAACUGAACUCUGUCUCCUUGGACAGGCCCCAGGCUCAGUCUGGACGGCUGACCUCCAUGAACAUUUACCCUUGCCCUGGCCUCCCAAAAGGGGGACGGUUACAUAAAGUAAUGCCGACCUACAUUCUUGGUCAGGUUGCUUCUGGGUCCCCAGAGCAAAUCACCAAGGUGAACACGAGGUUCACCAAGAAAGAAGCACAAACUGAUGUCCGAUUCACUUUUACCCCCCACCCCCACCCCCUACCAUUAGCCCAACUUGGCCUCAAAUCAGUGGAUAUUGACUGGUUUGGCUUUACCACCCUUGUUCCCUCAAGGGAAGACUGGCUCUUUAAACACAACCCAAAAUGAAACAAAAACGAAACACAUAGCAACACAAAAGCUUAUAAUUUCUGAUUUUUGUGGGGAAAAAAAAAUAAGUUUGCAAAAAGUGGCUAUAACUACAGAAGAGUUCUUUGAAGAAAUUGCUUAAUUUUCAAAUACUUAAACACUAUCAAAUAAGAGAACAUUGCCAAAUGGGGUUCUGGAGACAAGAUUUAAUGAACAAGUGAUAAAAUCUAGUAAUUAUCCCAUUCCAUACAUAUAAUAUUUGCAUAGAUAAAGUUUGGCUCCUCAAAUAAUUAAACAUCAUUCCCUACAAAUUUGUUUUGCUAAUCGCCUCAGGAGAUACCGUUUCAAAAUAAAAAAUGAAAGUCUGAUUUUUUUAAUCUAAAUUAUCCAAAUUAGUGGACAUCUUACUACUGAAGUUCUGUGGUUAUUAGCUAAAAAAAAAAAAAGAAAAGAAAAGAAAAAUGUUUGCUAGGUCUUUUUUUUAAAGGAUACUCAACAAAGAUACCAACUAAAUCUUCUCUGGAGUUAUUAGCAUGAAACAAACAAAAGCAGCGACUGAGGUUCAGAGUCAUUAAUGCUGUUGUAAUACAUGCCCAUUCCUUACAAUGCCCCCAAACCACUACUAUGUAGUUCUCUGAGAAGAGUCAGAAGCCCAAGUUCAAAUGUAGAACUACCACUGGAUCGCUUGAGGAGAGCCAAAACACCCCUUAACUUAUCCAGGCCUCAGUCUCCUCCCUCCUGUAGAUGAGGGAACCAUCUCCGUAGGUUCUUCAGAGAUGGUGAUGACGAUAAUGUGGUGGCAGUGAUGGCCGUGACGGAGGUAGCCCCUGCUGUUUAGUGAGUCUUAUCAUAUGCCAAACACCCUUUGAAGCCUUUGACUUACAUUAACUCACAAUAUCUUCCUGGAAUGCUGGACCAAGGAUCUUUCCCCAAACUCCUGUCCAUUGUGCACUCUUGAACAAAAGACACUGUGGCAGACUAAGUUUUCAAAAAGUAGCCUUAACCAGGGGCACCUGGGUGGCUCAGUCGGUUGAGCGUCUGACUUCAACUCAGGUCAUGAUCUCUCAGUUCACGAGUUCAAGCCCCGCGUCGGGCUCUGUGCUGACAGCUCAGAGCCUGG
rnacentral:lncRNA from 1 species